rnacentral:tRNA from 1 species
GCCUGGGUGGCUCAGUCGGUUGAGCAUCUGACUUCAACUCAGGUCAUGAUCUCAGUUUGUGAGUUCGAGCCCCACGUCGGACU